CUGGCGGCGUGCCUAAUACAUGCAAGUCGAGCGAUGAGGCUCCUUCGGGAGUAAUCAGCGGCGAACGGGUGAGUAACACGUAGGUGACUUGCCCCGAAGAUGGGGAUAACCUCUGGAAACGGGGGCUAAUACCCAAUGUGCUCGGUGAUUCGGUUGAUCGAGUAAAGCUCCGGCGCUUCGGGAGAGGCCUGCGGCCCAUCAGCUAGUUGGUAGGGUAACGGCCUACCAAGGCAGAGACGGGUAGGGGGCGUGAGAGCGCGGACCCCCACACUGGCACUGCGACACGGGCCAGACUCCUACGGGAGGCAGCAGUAAGGAAUAUUGCGCAAUGGACGAAAGUCAGACGCAGCGACGCCGCGUGGGCGAUGAAGGCCUUCGGGUUGUAAAGCCCUUUUAUGGGGGAAGAGAAAAAGGACGGUACCCCACGAAUAAGUCCCGGCUAACUACGUGCCAGCAGCCGCGGUAAAACGUAGGGGACAAGCGUUAUCCGGAUUCACUGGGCGUAAAGAGCGUUGAGGCGGUUCCGUAAGUUGGGCGUGAAAGCUCCGGGCUUAACCCGGAGAUGUCGUUCAAUACUGCGGGGCUUGAGGACAGCAGAGGAAGGUGGAAUUCCCGGUGUAGUGGUGAAAUGCGUAGAUAUCGGGAGGAACACCCGUGGCGAAGGCGGCCUUCUGGGCUGUUCCUGACGCUGAAGGCGAAAGCUAGGGGAGCGAACGGGAUUAGAUACCCCGGUAGUCCUAGCUGUAAACGAUGGAUGCUGGGUGUGGGGGGUGUAAAUUCCCUCUGUGCCGAAGCAAACGCGUUAAG
rnacentral:rRNA from 1 species